GUGCCAGCCGCCGCGGUAAGACAGAGGGUGCAAACGUUGUUCGGAAUUACUGGGCGUAAAGCGCGCGUAGGCGGCCAUGCAAGUCGGGCGUGAAAUCCCACGGCUCAACCGUGGAAGUGCACUCGAAACUGCAUAGCUGGAGUCUCGGAGAGGAAGGCGGAAUGCUUGGUGUAGAGGUGAAAUUCGUAGAUAUCAAGCGGAACACCGGUGGCGAAGGCGGCCUUCUGGACGAUGACUGACGCUGAAGCGCGAAAGCGUGGGGAGCAAACAGGAUUAGAUACCCUUGUAGUCC
rnacentral:rRNA from 1 species